rnacentral:lncRNA from 1 species
AGGCACUUAAUCAUUGGAUACCUAAUAAAUGCUUUUUGUGAGUCUUAUUUGGAACUUUUGCAGCUUUCCGAAGAAACCACCGUGCUCAAUAGGAAUUCAAGUUAUAGAGUACAUUGCUGUAAGCAAGAUAUCGAGAAGAACAAGGCUAUUGUGCCCAUGGAUUGAAUUCCUCAUGACAUUCGAAAGAAAAAGGCUAUUGCAAGCGCUCCUAUCUUUUCAGUUGAAUGCUGCAUUAAAUGGCACAACUUUCUCCAGUUCCUG